GAUGAACGCUGGCGGCGUGCCUAAUACAUGCAAGUCGAGCGAACAGACGAGGAGCUUACUCCUCUGACGUUAGCGGCGCACGUGUGUGUAACACGUGGAUAAUCCACCUAUAAGUCUGGUAUAACUUCGGGAAACCGGAGCUAAUACCGUAUAACAUGCUGAACCGCAUGGUUCAACAGUGAAAGACGGUCUUUCUGUCACUUAUAGAUGGAUCCGCGUCGCAUUAGCUAGUUGGUAAGGUAACGGCUUACCAAGGCAACGAUGCGUAGCCGACCUGAGAGAGUGAUAGGCCACACUGGAGCUGAGACACGGUCCAGACUCCUACGGGAGGCAGCAGUAGGGAAUGUUCCGCAAUGGGCGAGAGCAUGACGGAACAACGUCAAGUGAGUGGAAAAGGUCUUCGGAUCGUAAUACUCUGUUAUUAGGGAAAAACCAAUGUGUAAGUAACUAUGCACGUCUUGACGGUACCUAGUCAGAAAGCCACGGCUAACUACGUG
rnacentral:rRNA from 1 species